UACGGAGGGCGCAAGCGUUGUUCGGAAUCAUUGGGCGUAAAGCGCGUGCAGGCGGCUUGGUAAGUCGGGUGUGAAAGCCCCGGGCUCAACCUGGGAAUUGCAUUCGAGACUGAAUAGCUAGGGUACGGUAGAGGGAAGCGGAAUUUCCGGUGUAGCGGUGAAAUGCGUAGAGAUGUGGAGGAACACCAGUGGCGAAGGCGACUUUCUGGGCUGUAACUGACGCUGAGGCGCGAAAGCGUGGGGAGCAAACAGGG
rnacentral:rRNA from 1 species